UGCUAAUGCCGCGAGAACAGUACGCCUCUGGUGUAGGGUGCAGCACCCCGAGCGUCGGCGACGUCCUCAUCGCCCUUCUUAUGAGCAAUUUUGGUGGAGGCGCUGGGUAAAGUUCGGCGAGUGUCAUCCGGGUGCCUUCGAAGGGUCAAGCUUGGAUGAUUUGUAGCCCGCAGAGCGCAGAACGGCCGCGCAGAGAAAUGGACUGUCCACUUUGGACAGCAUCGGCGUCUUUCCCCGCGGCCCGGAAUAUUGACGAGUGUUCCGGAGCUGCAGGACCACCGGAACCCCUCAUCCCGGAAUUUAUAUGAUGUUCUCCAAGCGCCCAGUAUUGGUCGACGUCGGCAUCCAAUAACCGGCGCCAUUCCUGUCAAACUGAAAGAAACCGCACCGAUAAAACAUGACAUUCCGAAAUGGACAGCCGGAAUCCAUAACUCAGCGGGCAUUUCUUCAUUUCUAACUGAGGGAGUCCCUCGGUGGUAUUGGGAAUUUGAUUUUUCUCUGCUUAGUGAUUCUUUUGCUCAGGCGGGGCUCUCUCAGGAAGAGAUGAUCUGAAUUAUGCAUCCAAAGCCCAUCACAAUGAGAUUUCCCCUACGGUAUAGCCUCGUUAAAUGUUAACGUCGAUUGUAAAACUCGCCAGUUAUAAAUCUUCCGACCUAAAUUAUAUUUGUCCGGAAACUUGUUUUAUGUUUUUCCAUUUCCCAUAAAGUGGAUCACUUCAUAAUUAAUGAAGACAUCGACAAAUAAAACUCGCUUUUAGAUUUCUUACCGAA